GCCCGGGUGGCGCAGACUGGUUAGCGCGACGGCCUGUGGAGCCGUAGGUCGCGGGUUCAAGUCCCGCCCCGGGCCCCA
rnacentral:tRNA from 1 species